AAAACAUAGCCUUAGGAGUUAAUUUAAGGUGAAGCCUGCCCACUGAGUAUUAAAGGGCCGCGGUACUUUGACCGUGCUAAGGUAGCAUAAUCAUUUGGCUUUUAAUUGGAGUCUGGAAUGAAUGGAAUAACGGAGUUUGGCUCUUUCUUAUUUUUUAUUUUGAACUUACUAAUUAGGUGAGAAGGCCUAAGUAUGAAAAAAGACGAGAAGACCCUUAGAGUUUUAAUAUAUUUUUGUUGGGGCGACAGUGGAGAAACAUCCAUAUAAUAUGUGACGGAUAUCAUGUUCAGAUAAACUACCUAAGGGAUAACAGCAUAAUCUUUUAAGGCUUAUGACCUCGAUGUUGGACUAGGAAUCUUUUGGGCUAGCCGUUUAAAAGGAAAAUUCUGUUCGAAUUGUAUUUCCUACGUGAUCU
rnacentral:rRNA from 1 species